rnacentral:lncRNA from 1 species
UCCAGUACUUUAUAGUCAAUCACAUUUUUAUAUUGCAAUAAUGAAGAUGUCUGUGUCACCCCAGACUGGUUGCUGGCCCCUAUGAAACCACCACUGUUUCCGUUUGCUCUGUUUUGUCAAACACCGGGCUUCAAACUCAUCGACGCAACUUUGUUAAUCCCUGAAGUGAACUGUUCUGUUAACUGUUGGACUGCUGUCUUGAACUGGAUGUGAGGCCCGUGAGUAAACGCAGUGCUGCGCCUCUAGUCUGGUGAGAAGCAACACUUCAUAACCAAACAAACAUAAACAAGAAAUUCAUUCAUGGCAGAAGAUCUGUGGAGCAUCACAAACCGAAGGAGAAUUAAACAGAUAGAAAAAGAAAAAUGCCAAACAAAGAGAGCAAGAGACAAUCUACUGAACCAGAAGAGAAAAACACCCCGAAACUAAUCAGACGGAGCAGCAUUAAUAGCGGAAAACCAAACUUUUCUGAUGAUCCAGACAGUUUUAUUCUGACUGACUCUGAUGAGACAGGAGCAGCUCCUUUCACCGGACCAGCAGAAUAUAAUUUAUAUUCUUUAUACUCACUGAUUACAGUUUUUUACAAUCAUUUUUGCAUUAAUAACAGAACCUUCAUGUCAUUUCUCAAAACUCUAGACUCAAAACAUUAUUUGUAACACAGGCUGCCCAAAACUUUGCAUAUUGCGUUCAUAUCUUCAAAAAAGCCUUGCAUUUGCAGAAGCAAAAAAAAAAAGAAAAAGUAUUUUGGUUCAAAAAACUAAUUUAUGAAAUAUCAUAGGAACAUUACGUUAGCUCACCCACACACAAGAUACCCAUAGUUUCACGGUGUAUUUGUUAGUACAAGCAUUAAAUAUAGUUGUACAAGAUAUGUGAUUCAGGUUUCAUUCUUGUAUUGUAGACUAGAGAGAAUAGUACAGACACAGUGGUAUCAUUGAAUUACUGUAAUGUGAAAUUUACCGAGGAAAUAGAAAUCACAACAUAGGUUUUCCAAAGGAAAAAAUUAGAUUAAAAAAAACAAACAAAAAAAACUGUACUGUUAACGUAAGUGUUCCCCACUGCACUAUGCAUCCAUGUUUCCAUCAACC